rnacentral:rRNA from 1 species
CAGCACCUCAAGUGGUCAGGAUGAUUAUUGGGCCUAAAGCAUCCGUAGCCGGCUCUGUAAGUUUUCGGUUAAAUCUGUACGCUCAACGUACAGGCUGCCGGGAAUACUGCAGAGCUAGGGAGUGGGAGAGGUAGACGGUACUCGGUAGGAAGGGGUAAAAUCCUUUGAUCGAUUGAUGACCACCUGUGGCGAAGGCGGUCUACCAGAACACGUCCGACGGUGAGGGAUGAAAGCUGGGGGAGCAAACCGGAUUAGAUACCCGAGUAGUCC